UACGUAGGGGGCAAGCGUUGUCCGGAAUCAUUGGGCGUAAAGAGCGUGUAGGCGGCUCGGUAAGUCCGCUGUGAAAGUCCAGGGCUCAACCCUGGAAAGCCGGUGGAAACUGUCGAGCUCGAGUCCGGAAGAGGCGAGUGGAAUUCCUGGUGUAGCGGUGAAAUGCGCAGAUAUCGGGAGGAACACCAAUGGCGAAGGCAGCUCGCUGGGACGGUACUGACACUGAGACGCGAAAGCGUGGGGAGCAAACAGG
rnacentral:rRNA from 1 species